AGCAAGCGCUGACUACUACCCCUGUUUUGAGACUUCCUAAUUUCCAGCAGGCAUUCACGGUAGCUUGUGACGCUUCCAUGGAUGGGGUAGGAGCUGUAUUGAUGCAAGAAGGUCACCCAAUUGCUUACUUUAGCAAAGGAUUCAGUUUUAACAACCGAUACAAAUCCACGUACGACCGAGAACUACUUGCCUUGGUUCUGGCUCUUCAAAAGUGGCGGCACUAUUUACUAGGGCACCAUUUCUUCGUGGAAACUGAUCAUAGCAGCUUGAAACACUUGUUGGACCAGCGCCUUUGUUGACAUGUAGUUAC